CUGAGGACCGCGUUCGGGUCACUUGCGGAACGCAACACCCGAUCUCCCUUCUCGCGCCCGGACGGGCGCUGACGGAGGGGGAGCGCGUCACCAUCAG
rnacentral:ncRNA from 1 species